rnacentral:rRNA from 1 species
AUUGAACGCUAGCGGCAGGCCUAACACAUGCAAGUCGAGCGGAUGACGGGAGCUUGCUCCCGGAUUCAGCGGCGGACGGGUGAGUAAUGCCUAGGAAUCUGCCUGGUAGUGGGGGACAACGUUUCGAAAGGAACGCUAAUACCGCAUACGUCCUACGGGAGAAAGCAGGGGACCUUCGGGCCUUGCGCUAUCAGAUGAGCCUAGGUCGGAUUAGCUAGUUGGUGAGGUAAUGGCUCACCAAGGCGACGAUCCGUAACUGGUCUGAGGGGAUGAUCAGUCACACUGGAACUGAGACACGGUCCAGACUCCUACGGGAGGCAGCAGUGGGGAAUAUUGGACAAGGGGCGAAAGCCUGAUCCAGCCAUGCCGCGUGUGUGAAGAAGGUCUUCGGAUUGUAAAGCACUUUGAGUUGGGAGGAAGGGCAGUAAGCGAAUACCUUGCUGUUUUGACGUUACCGACAGAAUAAGCACCGGCUAACUCUGUGCCAGCCGCCGCGGUAAUAC